rnacentral:rRNA from 1 species
UGCAGCCUGCAACUCGGCUGCAUGAAGCCGGAAUCGCUAGUAAUCGCGGAUCAGAACGCCGCGGUGAAUACGUUCCCGGGUCUUGUACACACCGCCCGUCACACCAUGGGAGUCGGGAAUGCCCGAAGUCGGUGAGCCAACGAAAGAGGCAGCCGCCGAAGGCAGGCCCGGUAACUGGGGUGAAGUCGUAACAAGGUAAC